AUUGAACGCUGGCGGCAUGCUUUACACAUGCAAGUCGAACGGUAACAGGGAGCUUGCUCCGCUGACGAGUGGCGAACGGGUGAGUAAUACAUCGGAACGUACCCAGUCGUGGGGGGAUAACGUAGCGAAAGUUACGCUAAUACCGCAUACGUCCUGAGGGAGAAAGCGGGGGACCGUAAGGCCUCGCGCGAUUGGAGCGGCCGAUGUCGGAUUAGCUAGUUGGUAGGGUAAAGGCCUACCAAGGCGACGAUCCGUAGCGGGUCUGAGAGGAUGAUCCGCCACACUGGGACUGAGACACGGCCCAGACUCCUACGGGAGGCAGCAGUGGGGAAUUUUGGACAAUGGGCGAAAGCCUGAUCCAGCCAUGCCGCGUGAGUGAAGAAGGCCUCGGUUGUAAGACUCUUUCAGCCGGAAAGAAAUACGCGCAGGAUAAUAACUCUGCGUGGAUGACGGUACCGGAAGAAGAAG
rnacentral:rRNA from 1 species